GGUGAGUAACACGUAGGUAACGCACCCUCUGGUGGGGAACAACCCGGGGAAACCCAGGCUAAUACCGCAUAUGCCCAAUGGGUAAAAGCUAUAUGCGCCAGAGGAUCGGCCUGCGGCCCAUUAUUUAAUCCUUGUUGGUGGGGUAAUGGCCUACCAAGGGUACGAUGGGUAGCUGAUCUGAGAGGAUGAUCAGCCACACUGGGACUGAGACACGGCCCAGACUCC
rnacentral:rRNA from 1 species